GCACUGUCGCAGUUUAACAACCCUGGGCUGUGAAUUUAUCCUCGCACUUUCUGGAGUGAGGACUCCAGGCUUAAAAUCCUAGCUUCACACUUGGCGACCCGGGGCGGCAGCUGCUGGGCCUCUGGGGGCCUCAACUUCCUCAGCGUAAGGAUGCAUGAGCCAACAUGAAGAGGCCAAAGAGGAGACAACUGGAGUAUCAAAGAACACAAUGACUUAAACUGAAAAACCCGACACAUGAACACAGGAGUUCCUAAUGAAAUAAAGCAGUGGCCUCCCCAUCCAAG